AUUCCAGCUCCAAUAGCGUAUAUUAAAGUUGUUGCGGUUAAAAAGCUCGUAGUGGGAUUUCUGCCGAGGAUGACCGGUCCGCCCUGUGGGUGUGCAUCUGGCUCAGCCUUGGCAUCUUCCUGAAGAACGUAGCUGCACUUGACUGUGUGGUGCGGUAUUUAGGACAUUUACUUUGAGGAAAUAAGAGUGUUCCAAGCAGGCUCUCGUCGUGCAUAGCUCAGCAUGGAAUAAUAGCAUUGGACUUCGUUUCUACGCUGUUGGUUGCAAGAAGCGAGGUAAUGAUGAAGAGGGAUAGUUGGGGGCAUUCGUAUUUAACUGUCAGAGGUGAAAUUCUUGGAUUUGUUAAAGACGGACUACUGCGGAAGCAUCUGCCAUGGAUGUUUUCAUCG
rnacentral:rRNA from 1 species